AGCGAACGUUAGCGGCGGGCCUAACACAUGCAAGUCGAACGCGAAAGGUCUUCGGACUGAGUAGAGUGGCGCACGGGUGAGUAACACGUAGGUAAUCUACCCUUUGGCGGGGGAUAACGUUCCGAAAGGAGCGCUAAUACCGCAUAAGACCACGGAGUCUCCGGACGCUGUGGGAAAAGGUGGCCUCUUCUUGAAAGCUACCACCGAAGGAUGAGCCUGCGUCCUAUCAGCUAGUUGGUAAGGUAAUGGCUUACCAAGGCGAAGACGGGUAGCUGGUUUGAGAGAAUGAUCAGCCACACUGGCACUGGAACACGGGCCAGACUCCUACGGGAGGCAGCAGUGAGGAAUAUUGGGCAAUGGGCGAAAGCCUGACCCAGCCACGCCGCGUGAGUGAUGAAGGCCCUCGGGUCGUAAAGCUCUGUGGAGAGGGACGAAAACCCUGGUUUCAAAUAGGCUCCAGACUUGACGGUACCUCUUUAGCAAGCACCGGCUAACUCUGUGCCAGCAGCCG
rnacentral:rRNA from 1 species